rnacentral:misc_RNA from 1 species
GAUGAAGAACGUAGCGAAAUGCGAUAAGUAGUGUGAAUUGCAGAAUUCAGUGAAUCAUCGAAUCUUUGAACGCAUAUUGCGCUCUUUGGUAUUCCGAAGAGCAUGCUUGUUUGAGUAUCAGUAAACACCUCAACCUCUUCUUGAUUUUUCAAAAGGAGGGUGGACUUGAGCUAUCCCAACAACCUUUACCGGUCGGCGGGCGGCUUGAAAUGCAGGUGCAGCUGGACUUUUAUCUGAGCUAAAAGCAUAUCUAUUUAGUCCUCGUCAAACAGGAUUAUUACUUUUGCUGCAGCUAACAUAAAGGAUAAUUGUCCUCUUUGCUGACUGAUGCAGGAUUUUACGACACUUUAUGUGUUGUUCAACUCGAUCUCAAAUCAAGUAAGACUACCCGCUGAACUUAAGCAUAUCAAUAAGCGGAGGA